UCCGCUCUCCGGAUGGCCGCGGCAGUGCUUCGGCGCUGGCGAGGAAAGUCCGGACUCCAUAGGGUAGCGUGCCUUGUGAAAACGAGGGACGGUUUCGCGUAAGCGGAACUGGACGGAAAGUGCCGCAGAAAAUAUACCGCCCGGCUUGCUGGGUAAGGGUGAAAUGGUGGGGUAAGAGCCCACCGCGCCGAGGGUAACCGAGGUGGCAGGGCAAACCCCACGUGGUGCAAGACAGAACAGGGGAAAGGGCGACCCGUCCGUUGAUCCCCGGGUAUUAGUCGCAUAGAGAAAUGGUCAUCGAAGCUGGCAAAGGGCCAGCGGAACAGAAUCCGGCUUACAGGAGAGCGGCCGAC
rnacentral:RNase_P_RNA from 1 species